AAGUAGGUGGCGAGAGUUAUACGGAUUUAUUGGGCGUAAAGCGUGAGAAGACGGUUUACUAAGUCUAAAAUUAAAGCCGGAAGCUUAACUUCGGUUCGUUUUAGAAACUGGUAGGCUUGAGUAUGGUAGAGGCAAAUGGAAUUUCUAGUGUAGCGUUAAAAUGCGUAGAUAUUAGAAGGAACAUCAGUGGCGAAGGCGAUUUGCUGGGCCAUUACUGACUUUCAUGCACGAAAGCGUGUGGAGCAAAUAU
rnacentral:rRNA from 1 species